UGCAGUCGAGGGGUAGAAGGAGCUUGCUCCUUUGAGACCGGCGCACGGGUGCGUAACGCGUAUGCAAUCUACCUUGUACAGAGGGAUAGCCCAGAGAAAUUUGGAUUAAUACCUCAUAGUAUCUUCGGAAGGCAUCUUCUGAUUAUUAAAGUUCCAACGGUACAAGAUGAGCAUGCGUCCCAUUAGUUAGUUGGUAAGGUAACGGCUUACCAAGACAAUGAUGGGUAGGGGUCCUGAGAGGGAGAUCCCCCACACUGGUACUGAGACACGGACCAGACUCCUACGGGAGGCAGCAGUGAGGAAUAUUGGGCAAUGGAGGCAACUCUGACCCAGCCAUGCCGCGUGCAGGAAGACGGUCCUAUGGAUUGUAAACUGCUUUUAUACAGGAAGAAACCCUCCCACGUGUGGGAGCUUGACGGUACUGUAGGAAUAAGGAUCGGCUAACUCCGUGCCAGCAGCCACGGUAAUACGGAGGAUCCAAGCGUUAUCCGGAAUCAUUGGGUUUAAAGGGUCCGUAGGCGGCCUUAUAAGUCAGUGGUGAAAUCUUCUAGCUCAACUAGGAAACUGCCAUUGAUACUGUAGGGCUUGAAUUAUUGUGAAGUAACUAGAAUAUGUAGUGUAGCGGUGAAAUGCUUAGAUAUUACAUGGAAUACCAAUUGCGAAGGCAGGUUACUAACAAUUGAUUGACGCUGAUGGACGAAAGCGUGGGGAGCGAACAGGAUUAGAUACCCUGGUAGUCCACGCCGUAAACGAUGGAUACUAGCUGUUCGGACGCAAGUUUGAGUGGCUAAGCGAAAGUGAUAAGUACCCCACCUGGGGAGUACGCACGCAGGUGUGAAACUCAAAGGAAUUGACGGGGGCCCGCACAGGCGGUGGAGCAUGUGGUUUAAUUCGAUGAUACGCGAGGAACCUUACCAGGGCUUAAAUGGGAGACGACAGCUUAGGAAACUAGGCCUUCUUCGGACGUCUUUCAAGGUGCUGCAUGGUUGUCGUCAGCUCGUGCCGUGAGGUGUCAGGUUAAGUCCUAUAACGAGCGCAACCCCUGUCGUUAGUUGCCAGCAAGUCAUGUCGGGAACUCUAACGAGACUGCCGGUGCAAACCGUGAGGAAAGGUGGGGA
rnacentral:rRNA from 1 species